rnacentral:rRNA from 1 species
AGUGAACGCUGGCGGUAGGCCUAACACAUGCAAGUCGAACGGCAGCACAGUAAGAGCUUGCUCUUACGGGUGGCGAGUGGCGGACGGGUGAGGAAUACAUCGGAAUCUACUUUUUCGUGGGGGAUAACGUAGGGAAACUUACGCUAAUACCGCAUACGACCUACGGGUGAAGGCAGGGGAUCUUCGGACCUUGCGCGAUUGAAUGAGCCGAUGUCGGAUUAGCUAGUUGGCGGGGUAAAGGCCCACCAAGGCGACGAUCCGCAGCUGGUCUGAGAGGAUGAUCAGCCACACUGGAACUGAGACACGGUCCAGACUCCUACGGGAGGCAGCAGUGGGGAAUAUUGGACAAUGGGCGCAAGCCUGAUCCAGCCAUACCGCGUGGGUGAAGAAGGCCUUCGGGUUGUAAAGCCCUUUUGUUGGGAAGGAAAAGCAGCAGGUUAAUACCCCGCUGUUCUGACGGUACCCAAAGAAUAAGCACCGGCUAACUUCGUG